rnacentral:rRNA from 1 species
GAUGAACGCUAGCGGCAGGCCUAACACAUGCAAGUCGAGGGGUAGAGGAAGCUUGCUUCCUUGAGACCGGCGCACGGGUGCGUAACGCGUAUGCAAUCUACCUUGUACAGAGGGAUAGCCCAGAGAAAUUUGGAUUAAUACCUUAUAGUAUUAUUGAAUGGCAUCAUUUAAUAAUUAAAGUUCCAACGGUACAAGAUGAGCAUGCGUCCUAUUAGCUAGUUGGUGUGGUAACGGCAUACCAAGGCUACGAUAGGUAGGGGUCCUGAGAGGGAGAUCCCCCACACUGGUACUGAGACACGGACCAGACUCCUACGGGAGGCAGCAGUGAGGAAUAUUGGACAAUGGGCGCAAGCCUGAUCCAGCCAUGCCGCGUGCAGGAAGACGCAUCUAUGGUGUGUAAACUGCUUUUGUACGGGAAGAAACACUCCCUCGUGAGGGAGCUUGACGGUACCGUAAGAAUAAGGAUCGGCUAAUUCCGUGCCAGCCGCCGCAGUAAUAC